rnacentral:rRNA from 1 species
CAAAUCAGGUAGGGCUACCCGCUGAACUUAAGCAUAUCAAUAAGCGGAGGAAAAGAAACUAAAUUAUAGACAAGGAUUCCCUUAGUAACGGCGAGCGAACCGGGAAGAGCUCAAAUUUGAAAUCUGGCGUCCUCAGGGCGUCCGAGUUGUAAUCUAUAGAGGCGUUUUCCGUGCCGGACCGUGUCCAAGUCCCUUGGAACAGGGUAUCAAAGAGGGUGACAAUCCCGUACUUGACACGACUACCGGUGCUCUGUGAUACGUCUUCUACGAGUCGAGUUGUUUGGGAAUGCAGCUCAAAACGGGUGGUAAACUCCAUCUAAAGCUAAAUAUUGGUGGGAGACCGAUAGCGAACAAGUACCG